UGCAAGGCAGCUCUUUCUCACACGGGGCUGCCCCAGGGGCCCAAUAUGUCCCCUCUGGAGCCGCCAGGAUGAGAAAGGAAUCUGCAAGCAGCUCUUCCCCUCGAGGUUGUCCCGGGGGCCCGGGCGGCCUCAGGCUCCCUGGGCUCUCCAAAUCCCUCAGGUUAAGAGCUCCUGGCCCGGGAGUGAAAGAAAACAAAGGCAGCCCUUCCAUCUUCCCAUUCCAACCUCUGGUCCCAUCACAGCCUCACCCCUGAGAGGGACGGUGGAAGCUCAGCUCUCUAUCCCAGCCACAAGGCUGCCAGACGAGUUAUAGGCGCAGCCCUGCCCAACGGCCUGCUGCUUCCUGCCUGCUGCCUGGCGUCGUGAGAAGGCCCCAAGGAGAUCUAGAAAAGCAAAGGGGAGUCCAACUCAGCAGAGCGGCCCCGAAGCUCGAGGGAGCUAAAGAGACAGGAAGCAUGAGUCAGUCAAGUAAGGACCCACUUCCGGCUGUGCUGAUAACGGACGUGGCUGAAGCGUCCUGCCCCUUGCGCGCGCGUCUCUGCGACUGCAGGCACUUCCGGUUUGCCUCACCGUGAGAGGCGACUGCUUGUCAGAAGGUAGAUCUUUUCUGUCAUCAAUAAACUGUCUUUUCCUUGCUGUCAGCCUUGUAUUCUGGCACUAUAUGCUCCUUGUUCUAUUGGCUGCUAACAUUUCUGUAAAAAGAGAUCUAACUGUCAAGAGUUCAAGAUUCCAGUGGUCUGUGAAGUCCCACCACCGAUCUACUCUCCAGAGUUGUGUUUGAAUCAGAGUUUGUGGGGUUUCCAUGAUGGCUCAUGGUAAAGAAUGCUGCCAAUGCAGGGGACAUGACUUCAAUCCUGGUCCAGGAGGAUCCCACGUGCGUCAGAGGAACUAAGCCCUUGCACCACAAUCAUUGAGCCUGUGGUCUGGAGCCUGGGGUCCACAGAUGCUGAGCCCACGCUCUGCCACUUCAGCAGCCCAUGACAGGAGAAGCCGCUGUGAGAGGAAGGCCGUGCCCCGCAACCAGACAGUGCGCCCCGCUCACCGCAACCAGAGCAAAGCCCGUGCAGCAGCAAGGACCCAGCACAGCCCCACCCAAGAAAAGAGCCUGUGCAAGACCAGCCGAAGCCCACUCCGUGUUGUCCCUCCCCACCCCGUGGCCUGAGCAGUGGGCGCUGCAGGCCAGCCCUCGGGGGCACUGCAGAGUGGGCAGCGAGCUCGCCUGCCCGCCUGUGGACUAGGCCGCCACCACCUCAGAUGGAGCAGCCUUGCACUCAGUUGCUGACGUCACCCAUUCACCGUGACGUCCUCCUUGGUCAGAGCCUGCUCACUGCCACCUGCCUUUCCCUUUUAAUCUCUUCAGAAUGUGCAGACGUGGCGAUCAGACACGACCUCCCGAGUGUUCACAGGAAACGGUGCUGCGCACGGGCAGAACUGCCCGGGUGAGCACCCGCCAUCAGACCCACCGACUGAGCUCCGUUUGUGCCGGGAAUGGGUCGUCUCCAGAAUGCAGAGGAGAGUCUGUCACGCAGACCGAUGGUGAGAAGUUCACAGGAAUCUUGGCUCUUGGAAGCUGCCUGGGUCUGGUUAGUGGAGGCUCCGGGAGUGAAGCGGCCGACCACAGGAGCGGCGGCAGCAAACUGCCGCACAGCUCGCUGCCGAGGGUUCCUGGAGGAAGCAACGGUGACAGAGCUGGGUUUUCAGUGGCAACAAUGACAUGAGCUGCCGACAGAAGUUUCUCCCAGGUUCUCUUUGGAUUCCUAAUGUAGACGCCCUCACUUUUCCUUCUGUAGAUGUACUGCUCCACUGGGAAGUAAAGGCUGGUGCCAUCUAAGGGCUCCUGCUGCAAGGAACGUGAUGAUGUCCCCCUGCAUUUGCUGGGCAUCAAGGACCCAGAAUAGUGUAAAAGAUUCACUUCAAGGUAUGACAAGAAUCCAGACAGUGCCAUAUGGACCACUGUCUGGGUAGUGUGGGAAAAGCCUGAGAAGAUGUUUUAGAGAAGCCAGAUAAUCUUUCUGAUAAAAGAAACUUGACUUUCAUUCAGUUGGUAGAAAUAACACGAUGAGCUUUACUCUUUAGAGGUUUAACAUUUUUUUAAAUAAUAUUUUGACAUUUAUGAGAAACUUAUAAUACAUGUACAAGGUUCAAGAACCUAAAAAUAUAAAAUAUUUUAUAUUA